GAUGAACGCUGGCGGCGUGCCUAAUACAUGCAAGUAGAACGCUGAAGGAAGGAGCUUGCUCUUUCCGGGUGAGUUGCGAACGGGUGAGUAACGCGUAGGUAACCUGCCUGGUAGCGGGGGAUAACUAUUGGAAACGAUAGCUAAUACCGCAUAACAGUAGAUGUUGCAUGAUAUCUACUUAAAAGGUGCAAUUGCACCACUACCAGCUGGACCUGCGUUGUAUUAGCUAGUUGGUGAGGUAACGGCUCACCCAGGCGACGCUACAUAGCCGCCCUGAGAGGGUGAUCGGCCACACUGGGACUGAGACACGGCCCAGACUCCUACGGGAGGCAGCAGUAGGGAAUCUUCGGCAAUGGACGGAAGUCUGACCGAGCAACGCCGCGUGAGUGAAGAAGGUUUUCGGAUCGUAAAGCUCUGUUGUAAGAGAAGAACGAGUGUGAGAGUGGAAAGUUCACACUGUGACGGUAUCUUACCAGAAAGGGACGGCUAACUACGUG
rnacentral:rRNA from 1 species